UACGUACUGUGCGAACGUUAUUCGGAAUCACUGGGCUUAAAGGGUGCGUAGGCGGCCAAUUAAGUAGGGUGUGAAAGGUUACGGCUCAACCGUGACAUUGCGCUCUAGACUGAUUGGCUCGAGUGAGAUAGGGGUGUGCGGAACUUCCAGUGGAGCGGUGAAAUGUGUUGAUAUUGGAAGGAACGCCGGUGGCGAAAGCGGCACACUGGGUCUUAACUGACGCUGAGGUGCGAAAGCGUGGGGAGCAAACAGG
rnacentral:rRNA from 1 species